rnacentral:rRNA from 1 species
UGGGGAAUUUUGGACAAUGGCGAAAGCCUGAUCCAGCAAUGCCGCGUGUGUGAAGAAGGCCUUCGGGUUGUAAAGCACUUUUGUCCGGAAAGAAAUCCUUGGCUCUAAUACAGUCGGGGGAUGACGGUACCGGAAGAAUAAGCACCGGCUAACUACGUGCCAGCAGCCGCGGUAAUACGUAGGGUGCAAGCGUUAAUCGGAAUUACUGGGCGUAAAGCGUGCGCAGGCGGUUUGCUAAGACCGAUGUGAAAUCCCCGGGCUAACCUGGGAACUGCAUUGGUGACUGGCAGGCUAGAGUAUGGCAGAGGGGGGUAGAAUUCCACGUGUAGCAGUGAAAUGCGUAGAGAUGUGGAGGAGUACGAUGGCGAAGGCAGCCCCCUGGGCCAAAUACUGACGCUCAUGCACGAAAGCGUGGGGAGCAAAACAGGAUUAGAUACCCUGGUAGUCCACGCCCUAAAACGAUGUCAACUAGUUGUUGGGGAUUCAUUUCCUUAGUAACGUAGCUAACGCGUGAAGUUGACCGCCUGGGGAUACGGUCG